rnacentral:rRNA from 1 species
AACGAACGCUGGCGGCAGGCCUAACACAUGCAAGUCGAGCGGUUGAGGGGAGCUUGCUCCCUGAUUCAGCGGCGGACGGGUGAGUAAUGCCUAGGAAUCUGCCUAUUAGUGGGGGACAACGUUUCGAAAGGAACGCUAAUACCACGUACGUCCUACGGGAGAAAGCAGGGGACCUUCGGGCCUUGCGCUAAUAGAUGAGCCUAGGUCGGAUUAGCUAGUUGGUGAGGUAAUGGCUCACCAAGGCGACGAUCCGUAACUGGUCUGAGAGGAUGGUCAGUCACACUGGAACUGAGACACGGUCCAGACUCCUACGGGAGGCAGCAGUGGGGAAUAUUGGACAAUGGGCGAAAGCCUGAUCCAGCCAUGCCGCGUGUGUGAAGAAGGUCUUCGGAUUGUAAAGCACUUUAAGUUGGGAGGAAGGGCAGUAAGUUAAUACCUUGCUGUUUUGACGUUACCGACAGAAUAAGCACCGGCUAACUUCGUGCCAGCCGCCGCCGUAAAAC